rnacentral:rRNA from 1 species
AGAGUUUGAUCAUGGCUCAGGACGAACGCUGGCGGCGUGCCUAACACAUGCAAGUCGAGCGAUGAAGCCCCUUCGGGGUGGAUUAGCGGCGGACGGGUGAGUAACACGUGGGUAACCUGCCUCAGAGAGGGGGAUAGCCUCCCGAAAGGGAGAUUAAUACCGCAUAACAUUAGUUUUUCGCAUGAAGGACUAAUUUAAAG